UACAGAGGUGGCAAGCGUUGUUCGGAAUUACUGGGCGUAAAGGGUUCGUAGGUGGCUUGCUAAGUCAGACGUGAAAUCCCUCAGCUUAACUGGGGAACUGCGUCUGAGACUGGCAAGCUUGAGUGCAGGAGAGGAAUGCGGAAUUCCAGGUGUAGCGGUGAAAUGCGUAGAUAUCUGGAGGAACACCGGUGGCGAAGGCGGCGUUCUGGACUGCAACUGACACUGAGGAACGAAAGCCAGGGGAGCAAACGGG
rnacentral:rRNA from 1 species